CGGGUAUCUUCGGAUACUAGUGGCAGACGGGUGAGUAACACGUGGGAACGUACCUUUCGGUUCGGAAUAAUACAGGGAAACUUGUACUAAUACCGGAUACGCCCUUCGGGGGAAAGAUUUAUCGCCGAUAGAUCGGCCCGCGUCUGAUUAGCUAGUUGGUGAGGUAAUGGCUCACCAAGGCGACGAUCAGUAGCUGGUCUGAGAGGAUGAUCAGCCACACUGGGACUGAGACACGGCCCAGACUCCUACGGGAGGCAGCAGUGGGGAAUAUUGGACAAUGGGCGAAAGCCUGAUCCAGCCAUGCCGCGUGUGUGAUGAAGGCCUUAGGGUUGUAAAGCACUUUUGUCCGGGAAGAUAAUGACUGUACCGGAAGAAUAAGCCCCGGCUAACUUCGUGCCAGCAGCCGCGGUAAUACGAAGGGGGCUAGCGUUGCUCGGAAUCACUGGGCGUAAAGGGCGCGUAGGCGGACUCUUAAGUCGGGGGUGAAAGCCCAGGGCUCAACCCUGGAAUUGCCUUCGAUACUGAGAGUCUUGAGUUCGGAAGAGGUUGGUGGAACUGCGAGUGUAGAGGUGAAAUUC
rnacentral:rRNA from 1 species